AUUGAACGCUGGCGGCAGGCCUAACACAUGCAAGUCGAGCGGAUGAAGGGAGCUUGCUCCUGGAUUCAGCGGCGGACGGGUGAGUAAUGCCUAGGAAUCUGCCUGGUAGUGGGGGAUAACGUCCGGAAACGGGCGCUAAUACCGCAUACGUCCUGAGGGAGAAAGUGGGGGAUCUUCGGACCUCACGCUAUCAGAUGAGCCUAGGUCGGAUUAGCUAGUUGGUGGGGUAAAGGCCUACCAAGGCGACGAUCCGUAACUGGUCUGAGAGGAUGAUCAGUCACACUGGAACUGAGACACGGUCCAGACUCCUACGGGAGGCAGCAGUGGGGAAUAUUGGACAAUGGGCGAAAGCCUGAUCGAGCCAUGCCGCGUGUGUGAAGAAGGUCUUCGGAUUGUAGAGCACUUUAAGUUGGGAGGAAGGGAAGUAAGUUAAUACCUUGCUGUUUUGACGGUACCAACAGAAUAAGCACCGGCUAACUUCGUG
rnacentral:rRNA from 1 species